GGCGGAGUAGCUCAGCAGGUUAGAGCAGCGGAAUCAUAAUCCGCGUGUCGGGGGUUCGAGUCCCUCCUCCGCUA
rfam:Sphingopyxis sp. H071 H071_contig000004, whole genome shotgun sequence.